rnacentral:lncRNA from 1 species
CAGGAGAAUUGCUUGAACCCGGGAGGCAAAUGUUGCAGUGAGCUGAGAUCAAGCCACUGCACUCCAGCCUGGGCGACAGAGCAAGACUGUCUCAAAAAAAAAAAAAAUUACUCAGUGUUAAGUCAAGUUUAGCCUAACACUGCCUCCUUACGUAAUUGAGUUCAGCCUAAAGGUUUUUCUGUACAUCAUGAACUUAUGAAAAUAAGCAGAGGUAUAAACCGACCAUAGCCCACACCUGUGCCAAUCACUGAGUUUUGGCCAGAUGUAGCCAACUGUUCAGACUGUGUUCAAAUAAGGCAAACACUGAGCUGUAAGCAAUCCAGUUGUUUCUGUACCUCACUUCCAUUUUCUAGACCUCACUUUCCUUUUGCUGGCCAGAAAUCUGCUCCCAGCAUGUGGCUGUGCUGGAGUCUCUCUGAAUCUGCUGUGAUUAUGGGGGCUGCCAGACUCAGGAAUCGUUCAUUGUUAAACUCCUUUAAAUUUAAUUUGGCUGAAGUUUUUCUUUUAACACUAGUGAUAUCUAAAACAGGAAAAGAAAUUGUACCACCCCUGAGGGAUGUAUUAGCAAGAUGUGUGGUUGUACAUCUUGGGAGUUGGGUGGGAAGUAGUUUACACAUAGUCCAAUAAGCUGGCCCUUUUUGAAGAAUGGAAAGGAUAGACGUGUAAGUUGACUACACUCAACAUUUCAUUUUAUUUUUAUUUUAUUUUUGAGACAGUCUUACUCCAUCGCUCAGGCUGGAAUGCAGCAGCACGAUCUUGGCUCGCUGCGACCUCCGCCUCCCAGGUUCAAUCAGUUCUCCUGCCUCAGCCUCCCAAGUAGCUGGGAUUACCAGGCUAAUUUUUGUAUUUUUAGUAGAGACGGAGUUUCACCAUGUUGGCCAGGCUGGUCUCGAACUCCUGACCUCACGUGAUCCGCCCGCCUCAGCCUUCCAAAGUGUUGGGAUUACAGGCAUCAGCCACCACACCCAGCUGACUACACUCAACAUUUAUCAUAGAUUAUAAACCAGGCACUAUUCAAGUAUCCUGGGGUUGCCUAAAUGAAAACAAAAAUCUCUGUUCCUGCCAUCAGAGUUAACGGCCUGGCUUGGAAGGCAGACUCAUGUUACUUACACCUUCAGCUCUGUUAGUAGACUCUGGUUCAAAUGCUGGCCACUUUAUAACUGUGUAAACUUCAGCAAAUUAAUCUUUCUCAGCUUCAGUGAUCUCAUGUGUUAAGAGAUAUUAUUAUUAGUAGCUACUGUUAACCUGCCUUAUAGCAAACUCAAUAAAGGCUAGGUAUUAUUAAUUACUUUACCAAAAACAAGCAAAGUGCUAUAAGAACACAGAGGAAGGAGUAAUUCAUUUGGGGACAGACUUAUAGUAGAGGUAUUAUUUCAAAGAUAUGAAUAAAUCCAUUUAAUUUUUUUAAAAAAAUGGACCCUGAAAUCAAAGACUUGGAUUUAAAACUGAAGCAGGAGGGUUCCCUGACUUCACUCGCAGGACUAACACUAAUGCACGAAGUACACAGGGGGGUGGCUCAUCUGCUUGGCUACCGAGCACAUGCAAACCCCUAAUAGGACAGGGAGCACACAGAUGGGCAAGUGCAGAAGCCGGAGCAAGGACUUUUGAACUCUGGCCCCAUGGUAGCGUCUAGGGGUGGGUAACUGCAACUCCUGAAGCCCAAGUGGGCAUGCGUUACACUGCACUCUUUUAGCUUUGUUGUCCACAGAUAGCUUAAGUGUUAACUAGCUCAGUGCCCUCUUAGUAUCCAGGUCAUUGUCAGGCAUCCAGAAAGAGGUCACACAGGGACUUGAAGGACGGUGAAUGUGGGGUUUUAUUGAGUGGUAGAGGUGGCUCUCAACAGGAUGGAUGGGAAGCUGGAAAGGGGAUGGAGUGGGAAGAUGAUCUUCCCCUGGAAUUUGGCCAUCCAGUGGCCAAACUCUUCUCAGCGUUCAGUCACUACUUCUCUUGUCUCUGCUGCACUGGUCUGCCAUUCUUCUGCUCAUCUGUUCAUCUCCUUGUCUGCUCAUCUGCUUGUGGAGCCUGGGGUUUGGGCUUUCUAUGGAUACAAGAUAGGGUGCUGUGGCAGGCCAAAAGGCAACUUUUGAGCACAAAAACAGAAAUGCCUGUUCCCAUUUAGGACGGUGGGUUUCCAGGCUUGAGAGUAGGGCAUUUGCCAGGGAACCACUCUGUUCUACCCAGUAUUUCCCUGUCUCCUGUCCAUAUCAAAACUGAACUCUGCAGAUAUUUAGCUAUGCUGGUUGUGGUAGGGUGACCCCCAAAUUGGGGUUCAGGCUGGGAGGCUACUUGGGUUCCUGCCUUCUGCAGGAAAGAAUUCAAGACCAAGCUGACAAGAGUAAAGUGAAACCAAGUUUGUUAAGAAAGUAAAGAAAUAAAAGGAUAGCUACGCCAUAAGCAGAGUAGCAGCAUGGGCUGCCCAACUAUACUUAUGGUUAUUUCUUGAUUAUAUGCUAAACAAAGGGUACAUAUUCAUGAGUUUUCUAGUAAGGGUGCAGGGAGUUCCUGGAACUGAGAGUUCCUCCCCCUUUCAGAUCAUAUAGGGUAAUUUCUCCAUGUUACCAUGGCAUUUGUAAACUGUCAUGGCCCUGAUGGGAGUUUCCUUUAGUAUGCAAAUAUAUUAUAAUUAGUGUUUAAUGAGCAGUGAGGAUGACCAGAGGUUGCUUUCAUGACCAUCUUGGUUUUGAUGGGUUUUGGCCAGCUUCUUUACCUCAUCCUGUUUUAUCAGUGACAAAGGAGAAAGUCAAAAUAUUUUACCCCAAAACAUGUUUCUUUGCCAUAUUUUGAAAUGGUCCUGCAAAGCCAUUCUUUGUGGGGGAAAAUUUGCAUCUAUAAAGAAUCUCUAUUAACAUAGUUAGGUUUUUUUCUUACAGGCCCUCUCAAUCCUGAAGAGAUUAACUAAGAGUCUAUCACCUUUUAAAGGUCUGAAUACGAAACAUUUGUCAUCUAUUGUCUCUAAGGGCAGCCACAUUAAGACUUCAAAAGAACUUUGGUCUCCACGAUCUUUUAUCUUAACCAGAUCAUCCAGGUCUUUAGACAAAGUCAACCAAUUGUCAACCAGAAAAUGUUUAAAUUUACCUAUAGCCUGGAAGCUCCCCUCCUUUGACUUGUCUUGCCCUUCUGGACCAAACCAAUGUAUUUCAUUUUUUCGAGAUGGAGUCUUGCUCUGUCGCCAGGCUGGAGUGCAGUGGCGCAAUCUCAGCUUACUGCAACCUCUGCCUCCUGGGUUCAAGCGAUUCUUCUGCCUCAGCCUCCUAGGUAGCUGGGACUACAGGCGCAUACCACUACACCCAGCUAAUUUUUGUAUUUUUAGUAGAGACAGGGUUUCACCAUGUUGGCUAGGAUGGUCUCAAUCUCCUGACCUUGUGAUCUACCUGCCUCGGCCUCCCAAAGUGCUGGGAUUACAGGCGUGAGCCACCGCGCCUGGCCAAACCAAUAUAUAUAUAUAUUUUUGAGAUGGAGUCUCACUCUAUUGCCCAGGCUGGAGCACAGUAGUGCGAUCUUAGCUCACUGCAACCUCUGCCUCUGGGUUCAAGCAAUUCUUCUGCCUCAGCCUCCCGGAUUACAGGCAUGAGCCACCGCGCCCGGCCAAACCAAUGUAUUUCUUAAAUGUAUUUGAUUGAUGUCUGUGCCUCCCUAAAAUGUAUAAAACCAAGCUGCACUCCUACCACCUUGGGCACAUGUUCUCAGGACCUCCUGAGCGCUGUGUCAUGGGCCAUGGUCACUCAUUUCGCUCAGAAUAAAUCUCUUCAAAUAGUUUAUAGACUUUGAUUCUUUUUGUCCACAAGGAUAGUUUGAAAUCAGCCAUGAUGACAGUAUUUACAACAUAGAAAGCAGGGCUUUUUCCCCUAGAGAUCUAGUUGUUAAGCAUUCACCAGCACAAGACUAUAAAAUGAGUUUAGGCUGGGCGCGGUGGCUCAGGC